GAGCUUGCUCCCUGAUGUUAGCGGCGGACGGGUGAGUAACACGUGGGUAACCUGCCUGUAAGACUGGGAUAACUCCGGGAAACCGGGGCUAAUACCGGAUGGUUGUUUGAACCGCAUGGUUCAAACAUAAAAGGUGGCUUCGGCUACCACUUACAGAUGGACCCGCGGCGCAUUAGCUAGUUGGUGAGGUAACGGCUCACCAAGGCGACGAUGCGUAGCCGACCUGAGAGGGUGAUCGGCCACACUGGGACUGAGACACGGCCCAGACUCCUACGGGAGGCAGCAGUAGGGAAUCUUCCGCAAUGGACGAAAGUCUGACGGAGCAACGCCGCGUGAGUGAUGAAGGUUUUCGGAUCGUAAAGCUCUGUUGUUAGGGAAGAACAAGUACCGUUCGAAUAGGGCGGUACCUUGACGGUACCUAACCAGAAAGCCACGGCUAACUACGUGCCAGCAGCCGCGGUAAUACGUAGGUGGCAAGCGUUGUCCGGAAUUAUUGGGCGUAAAGGGCUCGCAGGCGGUUUCUUAAGUCUGAUGUGAAAGCCCCCGGCUCAACCGGGGAGGGUCAUUGGAAACUGGGGAACUUGAGUGCAGAAGAGGAGAGUGGAAUUCCACGUGUAGCGGUGAAAUGCGUAGAGAUGUGGAGGAACACCAGUGGCGAAGGCGACUCUCUGGUCUGUAACUGACGCUGAGGAGCGAAAGCGUGGGGAGCGAACAGGAUUAGAUACCCUGGUAGUCCACGCCGUAAACGAUGAGUGCUAAGUGUUAGGGGGUUU
rnacentral:rRNA from 1 species